rnacentral:rRNA from 1 species
AAAGUAGCUUGCUACUUUGCUGACGAGCGGCGGACGGGUGAGUAAUGCUUGGGAACAUGCCUUGAGGUGGGGGACAACAGUUGGAAACGACUGCUAAUACCGCAUAAUGUCUACGGACCAAAGGGGGCUUCGGCUCUCGCCUUUAGAUUGGCCCAAGUGGGAUUAGCUAGUUGGUGAGGUAAUGGCUCACCAAGGCAACGAUCCCUAUCUGGUUUGAGAGGAUGAUCAGCCACACUGGGACUGAGACACGGCCCAGACUCCUACGGGAGGCAGCAGUGGGGAAUAUUGCACAAUGGGCGCAAGCCUGAUGCAGCCAUGCCGCGUGUGUGAAGAAGGCCUUCGGGUUGUAAAGCACUUUCAGUCAGGAGGAAAGGUUAGUAGUUAAUACCUGCUAGCUGUGACGUUACUGACAGAAGAAGCACCGGCUAACUCCGUGCCAGCAGCCGCGGUAAUACGGAGGGUGCGAGCGUUAAUCGGAAUUACUGGGCGUAAAGCGUACGCAGGCGGUUUGUUAAGCGAGAUGUGAAAGCCCCGGGCUCAACCUGGGAACUGCAUUUCGAACUGGCAAACUAGAGUGUGAUAGAGGGUGGUAGAAUUUCAGGUGUAGCGGUGAAAUGCGUAGAGAUCUGAAGGAAUACCGAUGGCGAAGGCAGCCACCUGGGGUCAACACUGACGCUUCAUGUACGAAAGCGUGGGGGAGCAAACAGGAUUAGAUACCCUGGUAGUCCACGCCGUA